rnacentral:misc_RNA from 1 species
AAGUCCAUUAAAUGAAUCAGUCUUGCCGUGGUCGCCGUUUAGAGCGGUUGUGUUUGCGGAUUUUAUGAUGUAAUUUACAUUGGAUAAUAAAUGUGAUACAAUAAAGUUCAGAACAUCGAAGAUAUGUCACUGAAGAUACAAACCACGGCAGACGCAGCGACAUCUAUUAGAAACUGCGAUUAAACACGAACGAACGAACACACUGAUUUUGAACGCGCCCGCGCGAGAGGGACAGAGCUAGGCGCCAAAAAUAGUACGUUUGAAAAUAGCAACACGAUGUCCUCGCAACCAGUGUCGGAGAGCGAGCCGUCGGGUGCUCACGCGAGCUGGUGGCAAUCACCAUGGAAAACUAUGGCGGACUUGGCCGAAGCAGUUGAUGAUCUCAUCUGCAGCUUCGAUUAUAUGGACACGGCUAUGGACAACCUCGUCAUGUUGGUGUUCAUAUGGAUAUUGUUCUCGAUAGUGUUGCUCGGCAUUGCGAAAUGGGCGUACGGCCGGUUCUCGAAGAAGGCGGUAGAGGAGAAGCCGAAGGAGGAACCGAAGAAGAUGACGACGGAGAUCAUCACCAGUUCCGACAGUGUAUUAGCGACUAGCGCGAAAGUGAAGAGCUCGUCGUUCAAGCCGAGCAAGCCAACUGGAUUUGUGCCCGCGACGCCUCCGAACAAGCGUAGGUUAGGCCGCAUGUCGCCAGGCCCCGAGCAACUGACGCUGAAGAAGCACCAGAGCGUGGUGAUACCGACUUGCACGGGAGCCGACGGGCCCAGUGUUCAAUGGGUCAACGAUUUAUUGACCUGGUUAUAUAAUGACCUUGUUAUUGUGAAUGAUUUCGUGCAACAAUGGAUCGUGUCCAUGAACGAGUUCUCCAAGAAGUCCGUCGAGGAGCAUGGAAUCGGCGUGGAGCUGGUGCGUGCUCUGGACAGCCAUCCGCCGAACAUUUCCAACGUCUUCUGCGAGUGCGACUCAAAGGACGACGUGACCAUCACAUGUGACUGUGAGGCGACGCCCGCGUUCCAGCUGAAGGCGUUCAGCCAACGAGGGGAGAAGGUCGAGGUCUCGCACUACCGAGUCAAUGUCAACAGAUUCCGCGCCCGUCUCAACGUGGUAUGCGUGACUGAGAAGCUGACGGGAGAGCUGAAGUUCGACGGCUGGCCUGAAGUGAAGGUGGCGUUGGCCCCAGUCGGACCCCUGCGACCCAACGCCACCGAGUCCAACCUGCAACAACUGGUCAGCGACAUUGUAGUGAGCGCGCUGCGUAACACAAACCUGCGGUUCAACCUCACUCCGUACCCGACGUGCCCGCGGCUGCGCAGGUACGUCGACUCCUCGCCGCGGCUGCCGCUACACUACGAUUCCAUGUUGCAGCAUGACCGCCAGUUGUACACCUCCACGCCGAACUCCACCGUGUCCAACCCUGGCCUGCUAGGAGACAAGCGGCUGCUCGUCAAGGUGGUAGGCGCCAAGGAUAUUGGGGGUAAGACAGGUUGCAUAGCGCCAUAUUGCGUGGUGGAAAUGGAUGAACCGCCGCAGAGGAACCAGACCGCCUUCAAGAAAGAGACCACCAGUCCGCAGUGGGAGGAACACUUCCUCUUCGAGCUGUCCCCGCAAACGGCGGAGCUUCUGUUCGAAGUGUACGACCGCACAGGACCGCCGUCACCGGGCGGCGCCGCGACGCAACACAGGUUUCUGGGUCUAGGCCUGGUGGGUAUCGACGAACUCCUGGCGGCGCCGUCCCAGCGGCAGCAGAUCGCGCUGCAGACCAGGCCCAUGGAGGAGCACGACAUCAGCGGCACGCUCACUGUCGAGUUCCUGUUCAUCGACGGUCCGGAGAUCCCCGAGCUGGGCUCGCGGCCGGUCAAGAUCAAGGAGAGCCUGCGCACCGUCUCGCCUCAGGGACAACUCACUACCACCACCAAGACCAUAUUCAAACAAAAUGGUCACGAGACGCAACAGCUGACGGCGUCAGCACUCCGCGAGCUGGAGAUGAGCCCCGCCAGCGCCGCCAACAAGUCCACACUCAUCAUACACUCGGUGCAGCGGGAGCCCAAGAAGUCUAUCAAGGUGGAACUAACCGACUCCGGCAAGUUCAUCGAGGUGGAACGCGAGGCCAUAGACAACCCGCCUCUCCAGCCCAUAGACUAUGUAGACCACAGUGUCAAAGAGAAGACGGCCAGCCCCAACCAAUCGCCGGGAAAGAGUGUAAGGAUUAAGGAAAACGGCGCUAAAACGAACGGAGAAAAUCUAGACAUGCAAGGUGACUACGUGAACAACCAAAACGAGAGCGUUCCCCCGGAGCCGGCGCCGAGGAAACGGCGACGAGACUUCUUUGGCACCAUCAAAAGGAGACUAGGUAGAUCUCGCACUCGCGGACAGUCGCUGGACAUGACCGACUCCGAGCUCGAGCACCAGAGCCGCAUGCGCAGCAUCAGCGCCGAGAGGAACACGCAUGAAAAAGCCCUAUCCGUCCCAAACAGAAACGUGUAUUCCGCCGGUGCAUCCCCCGCGCAGUCGGGAGAUGAAUCCAGGACCUCGAGAAGGUCCUCUCUUAGCGAAGCGUCCGGCUUCAGUACUGCUUCAGCGAGGACGUUCAUCCACGAAGCCUCGACCCUGGUGCUGGAGACCAUCGAGGCGGGCAUCAAGAAGCACUACCUGGUGCCACUAGCCAUCGCCCAGCGAUCCCGGUGGCGGCGGAAGGGGGUCAAACUUCAUAUUUACAAUGAGCACACAUUUAUUGCUAAGCAUCUUACUGGCGGCACAGUGUGCGAGGUGUGCGGUAAGACAGUGGCGCGGCGGCUCGGCAAGCAAGGCUACGAGUGCCGCGACUGCACGCUGCGCUGCCACAAGCACUGCCAUGUCAAAGUGCCCAACACAUGCCCCAGAUCCACCGUGCACAAUAUGGAGCUAUCCAUGCUCCCUGUGCUAACUGAAUAAGUCAAGCUAAGCAAGAAGACUGCAAGUUAAAUUAUAAAAAAAUAUAUAAAAAAACCCAAAAAAAAUAAUAUUUCGAGAAUUUUCCACGUUCAAGGUCGAUUAAAGAUACAGUAAAGACUUACAUCUCAUCUCCAUACACCGACAAAAACAUAAGAAUGUUGUGAUGAAAAAAAAAUGGUGAAGCGCUUCGAAUGCACAAAGCAUUGUCAUAACUUUUAUCUAUUUAAAACUCUCCGAGUACAAUUGUAAUCAGCUAUAAACACGAUAUACAAUUCGUAGGCUUUUUUACAAAUAUAUUUAUUAAAACAUAGUUUUAAGGAACAACGUAGAGGUUCUAAAAUUGUUACCAUGAAAAAAACUUUUUGAAAUUCUCCCGCUUAUGUCACUCGCUGGCGUACAUGUAGAAUUAGUUUUAGGUAUCGCUAGAGCCCACUGAAAGCUGUUUUUGCCACACCAGCAAAACGUCGGCAAAGAAAAGAGGGGUUUUUGACGGAAAAAAAAUUCUACCUCAUUUUCUUUUUUGGAAAACAUAGUUACCAUAAACCAAUUGUUGGCAACCCUGAAAAGUGACUAUUUAUUUUUUAGUUUUAUAAGUGCUUUAUGCACAAAGUGAUCUUAAUGUCGUACGUGCAAUAUGAAAUAAACACGCGCUUUAGCUUUCGACGUUACAUUAGAGUUAAAUACGGCCAUAAUUUCCAGUGACCACCUAUUUUUUAAUCUAGAUUGGAGAUCAGCGUUUUUUAUCGUGCCUAAAUAUAAAAAAAAUCGUUACAACGCAAUAACAAUGAAAUAAAAAAUCAGUAAAAUUCUAUGUAACAUUUACGCUUUUUUAUUUACAUCCAAAUCAAGAGCAUUGGUGCUAAAUAUCAAACGCGACGCCGUCUCUAAUCUCGAUUAUGAAUUGUCAUAAUUUAAGUAAGCAAGUGAGUUGUUAAUUUUUUUGUUUAUUAGAGAGUGACUGACAGUUAUUAUUGUAGUUGUAUUUGUAAUGCGCUGCGAAUGUUUUGGCUUUUGGUGCUUUAAAAAGUUGAUCUCAGAGUUCUCUAUUCAGAUUUUUUAAAGAAAAUAUUUACAAAUAUUGCCCAUAUUUUAUUUAUAAUAGAAAAAAAAAUAUGAGAAAUAAUUUUGAUGAAAUAUGGACAGUUUUUUCUACUUACUCGUUUACAAUAUUCGAAAUUACAAAUAGUAUUAAUCCACAAUUUCAUAAUUUUCAUAAGCGACAUUAUUUACAUCUAUCGACAAUAAAAACUCGAAUAUCUGCCAAGAAAGUACUUAUUUAUACGUCAAUGGAAAAGUCCAAAAUAUUCGUAGCGACUUUUUUAUAUUUUAAUGAAGUGAUUCAUAUUUAUAUAUUAAAACAUGACAAAAUUUGUGUAUACUCAUUUUGUAUACUAAGAAUGUUAACGCAUAAUGUUUUAUGUGGUUCCGUAUGUUUAAACAAAACAUAUUUAUUUAUAAAUGUUGCGCAAUUGUGUUCUGUGUAAUAUAAUUUUUUCCUCUUUUUUUUUUAAAUAAAAAUGCCUUUUUUCA